AAUGAACGCUGGCGGCAGGCCUAACACAUGCAAGUCGAACGGGUCCUUCGGGACUAGUGGCGGACGGGUGAGUAACGCGUGGGAACGUACCUUUUGCUUCGGAAUAGCCUCGGGAAACUGGGAGUAAUACCGAAUGUGCCCUACGGGGGAAAGAUUUAUCGGCAAAAGAUCGGCCCGCGUUGGAUUAGGUAGUUGGUGGGGUAAUGGCCUACCAAGCCGACGAUCCAUAGCUGGUUUGAGAGGAUGAUCAGCCACACUGGGACUGAGACACGGCCCAGACUCCUACGGGAGGCAGCAGUGGGGAAUAUUGGACAAUGGGCGAAAGCCUGAUCCAGCAAUGCCGCGUGAGUGAUGAAGGCCUUAGGGUUGUAAAGCUCUUUUACCCGGGGAUGAUAAUGACAGUACCGGGAGAAUAAGCCCCGGCUAACUCCGUGCCAGCAGCCGCGGUAAU
rnacentral:rRNA from 1 species